UACGUAGGGAGCAAGCGUUGUCCGGAAUCAUUGGGCGUAAAGCGCGCGUAGGUGGCUUCAUAAGUCCGUUGUGAAAGUCAAAGGCUCAACCUUUGAAAGCCGAUGGAUACUGUGAAGCUAGAGUACGGAAGAGGCGAGUGGAAUUCCUGGUGUAGCGGUGGAAUGCGCAGAUAUCAGGAGGAACACCAAUAGCGAAGGCAGCUCGCUGGGACGAUACUGACGCUAAGGCGCGAAAGCGUGGGGAGCGAACAGG
rnacentral:rRNA from 1 species